CUGCUCACCAAUGUUUAGGGGAUCUGAGAGGAUGACCCCCCACACUGGUACUGAGACACGGACCAGACUCCUACGGGAGGCAGCAGUAAGGAAUAUUGGUCAAUGGGCGGAAGCCUGAACCAGCCAUGCCGCGUGCAGGAAGACGGCCCUACGGGUUGUAAACUGCUUUUAUACCGGAAUAAACCUUGAUUCGUGAAUUGAGCUGAAUGUACGGUAAGAAUAAGGAUCGGCUAACUCCGUGCCAGCAGCCGCGGUAAUACGGAGGAUCCAAGCGUUAUCCGGAUUUAUUGGGUUUAAAGGGUGCGUAGGUGGUUCUUUAAGUCAGGGGUGAAAGACGGUAGCUUAACUAUCGCAGUGCCUUUGAUACUGAAGAACUUGAAUACACUAGAGGUAGGCGGAAUGUGACAAGUAGCGGUGAAAUGCAUAGAUAUGUCACAGAACACCAAUUGCGAAGGCAGCUUACUAUGGUGUCAUUGACACUGAGGCACGAAAGCGUGGGGAUCAAAUAGGAUUAGAUACCCUGGUAGUCCACGCCCUAAACGAUGAAUACUCGAUGUUGGCGAUAUACGGUCAGCGUCUAAGCGAAAGCGUUAAGUAUUCCACCUGGGGAGUACGCCCGCAAGGGUGAAACUCAAAGGAAUUGACGGGGGCCCGCACAAGCGGAAGAGCAUGUGGUUUAAUUCGAUGAUACGCGAGGAACCUUACCCGGGCUUGAAAGUUAGUGAAUUGAGCAGAGACGCUCAAGUCCUUCGGGACACGAAACUAGGUGCUGCAUGGCUGUCGUCAGCUCGUGCCGUGAGGUGUUGGGUUAAGUCCCGCAACGAGCGCAACCCCUAUGUUUAGUUGCCAGCACGUCAAGGUGGGGACUCUAAACAGACUGCCUAUGCAAAUAGAGAGGAAGGAGGGGACGACGUCAAGUCAUCAUGGCCCUUACGUCCGGGGCUACACACGUGCUACAAUGGGCAGUACAGAGGGCAGCUACCUGGCAACAGGAUGCCAAUCUCAUAAAGCUGUUCACAGUUCGGAUCGGGGUCUGCAACUCGACCCCGUGAAGUUGGAUUCGCUAGUAAUCGCGUAUCAGCAAUGACGCGGUGAAUACGUUCCCGGGCCUUGUACACACCGCCCGUCAAGCCAUGGAAGCUGGAAGUGCCUGAAGUGCGUAACCGCAAGGAGCGUCCUAGGGUAAAGUCGGUAACUGGGGCUAAGUCGUAACAAGGUA
rnacentral:rRNA from 1 species